rnacentral:lncRNA from 10 species
UGUCCUCAUAUUCAGUUCUGUGCUCAGAACGAUGUAGUUUAUUAAAGAAAGUAUUGUUAUCUAGAGGAUUCUUUUUUUUUAUUUUUUUUUAAUGAAGUAUUACAAUUCCAGAGCUUAGUAUGAAUUAGGAGGAAAAAACUCGACACAUGAAACAUGUGGUAACCAAAAUGGGGAAAAUACAUUUUCCAUCAUUCCAUCAUGACUAAGUUACCAAAGUAAUUUUCUUUCUUUCUUUUUUCUCUUUUUUUUUUUGAGACAAGGUCUCACUUUGUCACCCAGGCUGGAGUGCAGUGGCGUGAUCUUGGCUCACUGCAACCUCCGCCUCCCAGGCUCAAGUGAUCCUCUUGCCUCAGGCCCCCAAUAGCUGGGAUUACAGGCAUGCACAGCCACCACACUUGGUUAAUUUUUGUAUAUUUUGUAGAGACGGGGUUUCACCAUGUUGCCCAGGCUGGUCUUGAACUCCUGAGCUCAAGCGAUUUGCCCGCCUUGGCCUCCAAAUGUACUAGGAUUACAGGUGUGAAACACUGUGCCUGGCCACAAAAGUAAUUUUCUACCGCUUUCUGUGAACUCCCUUUUAAUCACUUCCAAGGGAGUCAUUACAAAUUAAACUGUCACCCACCACUGAGGAGGUUAAGAAUAGUGUCUGGGUAGGAUGAGCACCUAGUUGUGUGAAAAUAAAGUGUGUGGUGGACUCUGAAAGCCAAGGAAGUUGCAAUCUCUGUUCUAGAAGUCCACUGAAGAGGCAGAAUGGGAAUUAGUUCCUUGAGGAUGGUAGGUGUAACAUGUUUUAACAAGGUGGCUGAACUACUCAAAAGAAUACAGCCUUAUCAGAAGCCAAACACAUUCACUAAUGACCCUGCUGAUGUUCCUAGUUCUAGGUUGUUUGGUGGGUCUUAAAACUUUAAAUAGCCCUGCAAGGGGAUGUGGUAAAUCCACAUGACCCCUCUCUGUUUUGACAGCUUGGCCCUGUCCAAAUGAAUCUUAGUCACCACUUUGGCUAUUUUAGGCCCAAGUCUGAUUCUGUGGCCCCGGGAGAAGUACAGCAUGUGUUUCUUGUGAUGGGGCAAGCCCAAGCUCUCUGGUGAAAUGUUUGUAUUUGGGCAAUGAAAGGUUCAACCCCAUACAGCGUAAUGUCACAUGAGGCCAAAGCAAUUAGGUUUAGAAUGACUUAUAGAAAAGUUGACAAAAAAGUGUAAUAAUAGUUUCUUUGGGGAGGAAACUAACUUCAAAAACAGUUGACCAAAUUUCACUUUGAAUAAUAAAAGAGUUUUUUAUUUGUAGGCUACACAGGUUUAGGUGGAUAUCAAGGCAAAAAGAAUAAAAGUUUUGGGAAACUUCUUUGGCUACCAUCUCAAUAAUGGCUUAUCAUUAAUAAUUAUUUUGGCCAAGGAUUUUUAAAGCAAAUAGAGAAGAGUCACUUUGAACCCUUGACUGCAAAAUCAGUGAGAAGAAAGGCUAAAAUGGGAAUAAUCAACACCAACAAUGAUAUGUUAAUAUUUCCCUUGUUCUAUAGUAGCAUGGUUGAAUAGAUCCUUCUGUAAUGAUGGAAAUGUCCCAAGCUACAUCUGUGCUGUCUAAUAUAGUAGCCACUAGCCAACUGUGGUUACUGAGCACUUGAAAUGUGCUAGUGUGACUGGGAAACUGACCUUUUAAUUUUAUUUAAUUUUAAUUAAUUUAAAUUUAAAUAGCUGCAUGUGGCCAGUGGGUACCAUGUUAAAAGUUUCAGGUCUAUAGGAUAAUAUUGUAGCCUAAUAGUUUCCUCAAAAUUCAUAUAAAUGUUUUUAUAAGUCUAGAGUUAUACAUAAUAAUUCACUAAUUUCAGGGGUUGAAAAAUAAAAUGGUAUUAUUAGAAUUUAUGGCAUAUCUGAAAAUACUUAAGAAGAAAAGUUUUAUAGUUGGCAGGAGUCAUGUGACUAAGGAAGACUACUAUCUAAUCAACCACUUAGAGAACAGUUAACAUUUUUCAGUAUCAAAAGUAAGUCAAACAUAAAUUAAUUCUAAGAAGUUAAGAUAAUCAAUUUCCCUUUGUUACUCUGGAGGGUUGGGUGGGGGAUGGUCUCUCAGCAUUUUCUCUCAGUGCUGAAAAGAUUCCAUUACUUUAUGUCUGGUCUUUUUCAGAACCUUUUAAAGUCAAAUGGACUCCCCAUAUGGGGUGAUUACCAGUUUUCUUUUCUUCUUCUUCUUUUUUUUUUUUUUUUUUGGUGAGGUGGAGGAUAGGGAGAGUAGUAAGAGGGAGAAAGACACCUAGGAAGAAUAAAGAAGGUGAGAAAAGUGAUCUGAGCUGAAAAUAUUUUCUAGUAGAUCAAGGUAGUGUAAGAUUUUAUUUACUGCUUUCUGAUAGUUGUUCAAUCCUAGUUCCAAUUCUUUUUUUUUUUUUUUUUUUUUUUUGAGAUGAAGUCUUGCUCUUGUUGCCUAAGCUGGAGUGCAAUGGUGUGAUCUCAGCUCACUGCAACCUCCACCUCCCAAGUUCAAGCAAUUCUCCUGCCUCAGCCUCCCGAGUAGCUGGGAUUAUAGGCGCCUGCCACCAGGCCCAGCUAAUUUUUGUAUUUUUAGUAGAGACGGGGUUUCACCAUGUUAGCCAGGCUGGUCUUGAACUCCUGACCUCAGGCAAUCCGCCCGCCUCGGCCUCCCAAAGUGCUGGGAUUACAGGCAUAAGCCACCACACCCGGCCCCUAAUUCCAAUUCUAAUUCAAAGUUAUUUCCAUUGAACUAAACAUACAUUUGUCAAAAUAUUUAAGUUUGAAAAAACAUGGUCUAGAUUCAUAUUCAAUAAUAAUGGAUAAUAAUAUAUCUCUGCUAUAAAUUUAAGACAAAUCUAAAAUACAACUAAUCUUCUAUUAUAAUUUAUUGUUCAGACUCAUACUGAUAUACUACCUUAAAUAAUUUAAAAAGCCAAAAUCUUAUUGAAGUGGUGGUAAUUUUUGGAAAUGAGAAUUUAGCUACAACAAAAACAAUGGCCAGCAUUAGUACAUAUUUAUGGGCACCAAAAUAGAAUAAAAACAUGAUCAUUAACUAUAUCUGUUUGGCUUUUUUGCUGAUUUGUUUAAUUUACCUUUAGUUUCCUCCUUGCAUUGAAUUUCCUCAGCUGCUCUACUGUUUCUGGAAGAUGAAUCUUGUAGGCGUAACGAUCCCGCUCCUAUGUAAGAUGAAAGAUAAUGAACAUAUAUAACCGUUUAAAAAAGUGCAGAAGCUUAAUCUAAAACAAAUAAUAAAGCUAAAAUUCUUAAAUAUAAAACUCAGAUUGAAUUUUAGAUUGGAGAUUUUAUUCCAUGAUACUGGUAAGCAAUCUGAAAUGAGGGAUAUUAAGGUUAAACUGAUAGUAAUAAAAUAAUAUUUCAUUUUCAGCAAUAAAGGGCUGAAAUAAUAGGUCACGUAAAUUUCAUAUAUAUGGCUAUGUGGCUAAAAUAACAAAUCGUAAUUAUUAUAAAGGCAUUGUUACUUUUUUUUUUUUGAGACAGGGUUUCACUCUGUCGCCCAGGUUGGCGUGCAGUGGCACAAUCAUACCUCACUGCAGCCUCAAACCCCUGGGCUCAAAGUGAUCCUCCCACCUCAGCCUCCUGAGUAGCUGGGAUAUAAGUGCACCAGCCUGGCUAAUUUUAUUUUUUUUAAUAGAGAAGGAGUAUUGCUAUGUUGCCCAGGUUGGUCUCAAACUCCUGAGCUCAAGCGAUCCUUCCGCCUCGGCCUCCCAGAGUGCUGGGAUUUACAGGUGUAAGCCACUCUGCCUGGCCUCAGGUUACCUUUGACAUGAUUUGCCAGGUAAAACAAGCAUUUGAAAAAUCAAUUCCACAACUGAUUCAGCAUUCUACGUUGUCAUGGACUAUAACAAUUACAGACUCUUCUAAUUAGGACACGCUUUUUUUUUUUUUUUUUUUUUUUUUUUUUUUUGAGACAGGGUCUUCCUCUGUUGCCCAGGCUAGAGUGUAGUGGGCUGAUCAUAGCUCACUGCAAGCCAGGUGUGGUGGCUCACACCUGUAAUCCCAGCACUUUGGGAGGCUGAGGCAGGAAGAUUGUUGGAGCCUGGGAGGUUGAGGCUGUGGUGAGCUAGGAUCUCACCAUUGUACUGCAGCUUAGGUGACAGCGUUAAGACCCUGUCUCAAAAAUAAAUGAAUCCCCCAUUAUUUAUUUAUAUAUUUUUAGAGACAGGGUCUCAUUCUGUCGCCCAGGCUGGAGUGCAGUGGUGAGAUCCUGGCUCACCACAGCCUCGACCUCCCUGGCUCAGGCAAUCCUCCCACCUCAGCCUCCUGAGUAGCUGGGACUACAGGCAAGUGCCACCAUGCCUGGCUAAGUUUUGUAUUUUUUGUAGAGAUGGGGUUUUGCCAUGUUGCCCAGGCUGGUCUUGAACUCCUGGACUCACACGGGGUCCUCCCACCUUGGCCUCCCAAAGUGCUGGGAUUACAGGUGUGAGCCACUGUGCCUGGUCCCUCAUGUGUAUUUUAAACCUCUUCUUACUCUUCUCCCCACUUUGGUCCUACUCUAAUUUGCCAAUGUAUCUUGAGGAUUCAUAUGCUAUAAGCACUCAUUAAUUUCAUAAAUAUUUCAAGAGCUGAUUAUAUGCCAGGCAUUGUCCUAUGCAUUUGGCAUACAUGAGGAAAACCAACAAAGAUUCCAGCCCUCAUGUAGAUCAUAUUCUAGUGCAAGAAGAUGAGAAAACACAAAAAAGGUAAAUUGUAGAGUAUGUCAAAAGUACUAUGGAAUAAGGCAAAAAAGUAAAGCAGGUAAGAGGGAUUGGGUACCUUGAUAUUUAAAAUAGGGUGGUUGGCUGGGUGUGGUGGCUCAUACCUGUAAUCCCAGCACUUUGGGAGGCUGAGAUGGGAGGAUCACUUGAGGCUAGGAGUUCAAGAUCUAGCAAGAACCUGUCUCUAUGAAAAAAUUAAAAAAUUAGCCAGGCGUGGUGGCAUGCACCUGUAAUCCCAGCUAC